rnacentral:rRNA from 1 species
GUCCACGCCCUAAACGAUGGGUACUAGACGUCGGGAAGCUUGUCUUCUUGGUGUCGCAGCUAACGCAAUAAGUACCCCGCCUGGGGGAGUACGGUCGCAAGAUUAAAACUCAAAGGAAUUGACGGGGCCCGCACAAGCGGUGGAGCAUGUGGUUCAAUUCGAUGCAACGCGAAAAACCUUACCUGCCCUUGACAUCUGGGGAAUUCUGCAGAGAUGCGGAAGUGCCGCAAGGAACCCCAAGACAGGUGCUGCAUGGCUGUCGU